rnacentral:rRNA from 1 species
GUUGAUCUGACCCAGAGAAAGGGACGGCUAACUCUGUGCCAGCAGCCGCGGUAAUACAGAGGUCCCAAGCGUUACUGAGAAUCACUGGGUUUAAAGGGUGCGUAGGUGGUCCGUUAAGUUCGUUGUGAAAUCCCUGGGCUCAACCCAGGAACUGCUUCGAAUACUGGCGGACUUGAGGCCGGUAGGGGUCACUGGAACAGACGGUGGAGCGGUGAAAUGCGUAGAUAUCGUCUGGAACGCCGGUGGUGAAGACGGGUGACUGGGCCGGUUCUGACACUGAGGCACGAAAGCGUGGGGAGCGAACGGGAUUAGAUACCCCGGUAGUCCACGCCCUAAACGAUGCAGACUAGAUUGCAGUGGGUCUUACCCCAUUGCGGUCGGAGAAAAAUUGUUAAGUCUGCCACCUGGGAAGUACGGUCGCAAGGCUA